UUUCAAGAAAAUAACUACAAAGAUUUAAUGAACUUUUUUCAGUUGAGUCUCUAAGAGCAAGUUCAACGGUGGUAUUUACAAGAUUGUUAAGGGAUGCUUAAGGAUAAAAAUAAAUCAAAAUACAUAUAAAGGCUAAAAUCGAUUCUUAUUAGUUAAGCACUUUUAGGAUCGAUUCUUAUCUCAUAUGUGUUUGUCUCUCUGAUUGGUUGGUGAAAUUAACAAAAGAAAAAAAAUUCGACCGAGGAUUUUUUUCCUCUCUCUUUCAUUUCAGGAGCCGAUCACAAACUCUUCGAUUUGGGAGAAUCCAAUGGCCAUCUCCGGCGCUGUUGAUGAAGCCUGAACUCCGCUUCUCGCUGUACGACCGUCGAGGGAUCCGUUGACUACAGAAGCAAACCAGCCGUCAGAUCUUCCUCCGGUGGCUGGAUAUCCACCGGAUUCAUCAUCGGUGUGGAGGUUGCUGAGCGAUUCGCUUACUACGGGAUAUCUUCGAAUCUGAUUACGUAUCUGACUGGACCAUUGGGGCAAUCGACGGCGGCUGCUGCCGCUAACGUCAACACUUGGUCUGGAACGGCGUCGUUGCUUCCUCUCCUCGGUGCUUUUGUCGCUGACAUGUUUCUAGGUCGUUUCCGUACCAUCCUCGCCGCCUCUGCUCUCUAUAUAUUGGGGCUUGGUUUACUGACUUUAUCUGCAAUGAUUCCUUCAUACUGCAAUGCUUAUAAACUACUCUCGUCUUGCUCUCC